AGUAGGGAAUCUUCCACAAUGGACGAAAGUCUGAUGGAGCAACGCCGCGUGCAGGAUGAAGGCCUUCGGGUUGUAAACUGCUUUUAUAAGCGAGAAAUAUGAUGGUAACUUAUGAAUAAGGAUCGGCUAACUACGUGCCAGCAGCCGCGGUCAUACGUAGGAUCCGAGCAUUAUCCGGAGUGACUGGGUGUAAAGAGUUGCGUAGGUGGCAUAGUAAGUAGCUAGUGAAAUCUGGUGGCUCAAACAUUCAGACUAUUAGCUAAACUGCUAAGCUCGAGACCGUUAGGGGUAACUGGAAUUUCUAGUGUAGGAGUGAAAUCCGUAGAUAUUAGAAGGAACACCGAUAGCGUAGGCAGGUUACUGGGACGGUUCUGACACUAAGGCACGAAAGCGUAGGGAGCAAACGUGAUU
rnacentral:rRNA from 1 species